AGCCUCCUUCAACUCCCUGGCUUAACCAGCAUGGCACAGAUUUGGGGGGGGUUAUAUUUGCCAGGACAUCUCCAGACAUACAGAUGUUUUUACUUGAUGGCAAAAAGACAUCUUCAGGGGCUGCGUGGCGGCACACCAGCACGGACCCCGAAGGCCUAAACAACAGACACCAUCAAGCCUUUUGUGGGUUUCAUCAGGGUCUCCUGCAUACAGUUUCACCACAGCAGGCAGACUUUCUCAGAUACAGAGAGGAAACAGAGACCGGAGGGAGAACCUCCCCCCAGCUCAGACCCGGGUGUCCACAGGUCUUAGGGCAGGCGCCCUCCCAGGUGAGCGAUCUCACUGCUCCUCUCCACUGCCAGCAGUCAAAAGUCACCCU